GGCAAUCUGGAGGUGGUCUUCAAGGAUGGGGGUGGGGGGGAUCUGGCUCCCAGGAAAUAAGGAAGACAUUCCAGACAGGGUUCCUGAAGCAAAGACGUGGAAGCAGGGAAAACACCUCUAGGGGACAGUACUGAGAGCUGUUUUACCAAGUACCUUCCUAUGGAAGAUAGGCAAUGAGGGGAAUGAUAAAGCUGUUGUGAGGCUGGGCGGAGCCAUGAUAAGAUGCUGUCUGGGAAAAGGUUCUGGGCAAGGAGAGGAUUCGCCUUUGGGAAGGAGACAGUGGGCCCAGAUAGCCCGCUGGCUCGCCCCACAGAGGGAUGGAUUCAGGGGAACAGGAGCUGCACCCACACCCCAAGAGGAAAGAGCACGCCGAGGUCACCCUGGUCACCUGUCAGAGGGCAGAUGUUCCAAAAGAGGCAUCUCGAAUAGAAACAACACACCUAACAGCAGAGCCCCCCAAUGCAUGAGCAAAGCCUGACAGCAAUGAAGGGCAAAUAGACAAUUCAACAGUAGUGACUGGAGGCACCAGGAAGCACAAGGAGUGGCCACAGAAAAGACAAACUGGACUUCAUCCAAAUUAAAAAGUUUUGUUUUUUUUUUUUUUUCAAAUUAAAAACUUCUGUGCUUCGAAGGAUAGUGAAAAGACAGUCCACAGAAGAGGGGGAAAUAUUUGCAAAUCAAAUAUCCAGGAAGGGACACCUCAACAGUAAAGAAACCAAAAAAACCCAGUGGAAAGACGAGCAGAAGAUUUGAACAGACAUUUCUUCAAAGAAGAUAUGCAAAUGACCAGUGAACACAUGAAAAGAUCCUCCAUCUCGUUAGUCACUUGGGAACCGCAAACCAAAAACACAAGAAGAUACCACUUCACUCCCACAGGACAAGUCCAAUUCUAAAAAGACAGGCAAUAACAAGUGUCGUUGAGGAGAUGGGAACCUUCGGACAUUGUCGGUAUGAUGGUACAGUGGUCAGUCACUUUGGAAAAUGGUUUGGCAGUUCCUCACAAUGUUAAAUACAGAGUCUCCAUGUGACCCAAAUACUCUACCUCUAGGUAUACAGAGUGAAAACACACUUCCCGACAAAGUCAUGCACUCGAAGGUUCAUAGCAGCCUUAUUCGAAAUGAUUAAGAUGUGGCACAACCCAAAGAUCAUCAGCUGAUGAACACAGAAGCAAAAGGUGAUAACUCCAAAUCCCGUGAUAUCACUCAGCGGUGAAAAGGCACGACAUGCCGAUCUGGACUACAGCGUGGAAGAACCCGGAAACCCUUAUACUAAAGGAUUGAAGCCUGACGUCAAAGGUCACGUAGUCUAUAAUGUCCAGCUUAGGCAACUUUACAGAAAGAAACUACAAGGAGAUUAGUGGUCUGUGGGGCGUCUGUGCCUUUGCAUUCCAACCCAGAAAAGCCCCUUAAACAUAGUCCAGGAUCUGGAAGGGUAACAUCCGGCUUAAUUUGGAGCUAGAGCAGAGGGUCUGAACAAGAGAGCCAGACUGUAUCUCCCUAAGACUGGAUCUUGGACCCACUGGCUACAAGCGAAGAGGGGUUAGUGACUUCUACUGGGACACAAGGAGAGCUGACACGUAAGGAGGAUGGCCAAGGCGGGAGCUCAGGAGGCAGGAGAGAAGGAGGGUGAAAGUGUAGUAGAGGUCCUAGCAGCAGGGCCGUCUUCAGGAGCCCGUUCCCACCCUCUCUCCACCCUCAUGCUUGCGUCCCUGUGACCUUCAACAUCAAGGGGGCACCAGAAUGCUUGAGCUGUGACUUGAGAGGGAGGAGUCUUCCUGGGCCCCUUGUGGACAGGUGACAGAUGAGGUCUUAGUUUUAUUUAUAAAUUAAAAAUUCUUAUCAUGAGGCAAAACCCCAUGGGGUGCAGGUGGUACCCCAUACAAAGGCUCUGGCCAAGGGGGCCCCGGGGUCUUGAGAUCCACUUCCCUAGCCAGGCGCAAACCCUGGGCUCAGGGCUGUAUCUGCCCAGAGGGCUCCUUUUUGUAAUCCACAGAAGGUCCCUCAUGGGGUGACCCAGCCUACAUCUUGUAAUUAAAAAUCAUUUAAUCAGAAGGGAAAAAAAAAAUAAUGUUUUCCUGGGUUGAGCUAAAGGCUAGGUCUUGGCAGCUUCAACCCUUGGUCUG